UACAUGGGGUGCAAACGUUGCUCGGAAUUAUUGGGCGUAAAGCGCACGUAGGUGGUCUGUUAUGUCAGAUGUGAAAGCCCUCGGCUUAACUGAGGAAGUGCACCUGAAACUGGCAGGCUUGAGUACGAAAGAGGGUCGCGGAAUUCCCGGUGUAGAGGUGAAAUUCGUAGAUAUCAAGCGGAACACCGGUGGCGAAGGCGGCCUUCUGGACAGUGACUGACGCUGAGACGCGAAAGCGUGGGGAGCAAACAGG
rnacentral:rRNA from 1 species